GUCCCUGUAAGACAAUAGAUAGCCCGUAGGACUUCUAAUCCAAAGGUCGUGGGUUAGAAUCCCACCUGGGAGG